rnacentral:rRNA from 1 species
GACGAACGCUGGCGGCGUGCUUAACACAUGCAAGUCGAACGGGGUAAGAUCCUUCGGGGUUUUACUUAGUGGCGAACGGGUGAGUAACGCGUGAGGAACCUGCCUUCCAGUGGGGGACAACAGUUGGAAACGACUGCUAAUACCGCAUAAAACUAUAGUACCGCAUGGUACAUUAGUCAAAGCUUUAUGUGCUGGAAGAUGGCCUCGCGUCUGAUUAGCUAGUUGGUGGGGUAACGGCCCACCAAGGCGACGAUCAGUAGCCGGACUGAGAGGUUGAACGGCCACAUUGGGACUGAGAUACGGCCCAGACUCCUACGGGAGGCAGCAGUGGGGAAUAUUGGGCAAUGGGCGAAAGCCUGACCCAGCAACGCCGCGUGAAGGAAGAAAGGCCUUCGGGUUGUAAACGUUACUUUUAGUCUAGGGACGAAGGACGUGACGGUACC